rnacentral:misc_RNA from 1 species
UUUCCGUAGGUGAACCUGCGGAAGGAUCAUUAAUGAAAAUGUGUUGCCGGGCCCAUAAUCCCGGCACUAACCUUCUUAUCCAUAACACCUGUGCACUGUUGGAUGCUUGCAUCCACUUUUAUACUAAACAAUUUGUAACAAAUGUAGUCUUAUUAUAAUUAAUAAAACUUUUAACAACGGAUCUCUUGGCUCUC